rnacentral:rRNA from 1 species
CAAUAGCGUAUAUUAAAGUUGUUGCAGUUAGAACGCUCGUAGUCGGAUUUCGGGGCGGGCCGACCGGUCUGCCGAUGGGUACGCACUGGUCGGCGCGUCCUUCCUUCCGGAGACCGUGCCUACUCUUAACUGAGCGGGGGCGGGAGACGGAUCGUUUACUUUGAAAAAAUCAGAGUGUUUCAAGCAGGCAGCUCGCUCUUGCAUGGAUUAGCAUGGGAUAAUGAAAUAGGACUUUGGUGCUAUUUUGUUGGUUUCGAACACCGAAGUAAUGAUUAAAAGGGACAGUCAGGGGCACUCGUAUUCCGCCGAGAGAGGUGAAAUUCUCAGACCAGCGGAAGACGAACCACUGCGAAAGCAUUUGCCAGGGAUGUUUUCACUGA